AUGGCCUCCUGGUUGUCGCAGGUGAAGGUGGUGCCUGUAGGGGGCAGCAGUGAGACGUACAGACCUCCUCAAUAUCAUUAUAAACAGUUUAUGGUGGUGGGAGAGAAGGAGUGUGCAGGAAGUGAUGCGCUCACUGAAGGAACUCAGACAGACACGCAGCGGUCUGGAGGUGUUUUAAAGGCUCACGUGAGGAACACUGACACACACCACGACAGAAGCUUCAUAUGAGCUGAUCUCAGCUUCAUCAGAUCCCUGUUGAGUUCUACAGACACACAAACUCAUUCCUUUCAGCAGUGUACUCUGGACCUGGUGUGCUGUUAUUUUAUUUAUAAUAAAAUAAUAAAUUACUUUUAAUAUUCAGUCUCUCUGUUUCCCUGUCAACAUACAUAGUAAUUAAUACUCUAACUUCAGUCAUUUAAACAGAUCAGUAAUGCAUAAAUGAAUAUAUGAAAGGUUUUUGGAAAACUGUGGUCCAUACAAUUUUUUGAUAAUUGAUUAUUUUAUUUAUUUAUGUAUGUAUGCAUGUGUGUAACUUUGGAUCAAUAUUUAAAAUUUAUUAUUUUUAAUUAUUAAUACAAUUUAUUAUUAUUAUUAUUGUGGUGUUAGUAUAACAAUAUUAUGAUAUACCAAAUAAUUAAUUUAAUUUUAAAUACCACAUUAUAUUACUAUCUCAGGUACAAAUGUGUGCUAAAAUACAGAACUGCAUUUAUAUUUUAAGAAGCGAGGUAGUUGGUAUGAGGAUCAAAUAUAUUUGGGGUCCUUUACAUCAAAAUUUGAAAAACCCUGGUAUAAAUCAAAGGUUAAUUAAUUAAAAUUCACAAGGGUAAGCGUUAUAUUAUGUUGACUGCAAUAUGUUUUUUAUUAUNUUUUCUCACAGUGUACAAAUUAGUUUUAAAUUAUAAAGCUGCAUAUAUAUAUUUGGGGAUCAUAUUUCACUUGAAAAAGAAAAAAUAAACCCUGGUAUCAAAGUUGAAUUAAGAAAAUACACACACAAAAAAAUCCAAAAGCAAACAAUAGUUAGCUAACAAUGCUUUUGGGAAACACACAUGGUUGCUAUGACAAGGCCCCACCUUCAAUCAAGCUCCAUUAAUAGUGUGUAUUAUUAUUAAUUCAUGUUAUGUGACCUUGGAUCCAUUACCAUGUCUCCAAACAUUUGUGUUAAUGCAUAAAUAGCAGCAGCAGCGUCAGUGUCUGAAAAUAACUAAUGUGCAUUAAUAGAGAGCAGAGUUGAGUGUUUGACUAAAAUAGGAGUAAUUCAUAGAAGGGGGUGUGUGUUGUUGACGAAACAGGAUAAAGCAGCACAGGUCAGGGACGGCCUUGACCCGCUGGUGUUUGUGCCUUAUUAGAAGAAAGGCGUCAGAAUGGAGAGGACGUGACUCACAUGGGAGAAAAACACGCUCACACCCCAACAAAUGUCUAUCGGAUCCACAAAGGGCACCAAAAAAGACUCUACAGAGGUUUUAUCGGAUGCACGUAUGAAAGAAGGUGACAUGCUGGAGUGUGUGCAGGGGUUAUGGGACUUUGAGACUCUCUCCGCAGACCGAAGCCAAGCCAGAAAGAAAAAGACAAAAUGAGAUCUGAGAAGGAAAGUUCAUGGCCUGGUUCUGCUUGAGGACUCACUGAAGUGCUCAUGGGAAGCAUUUAAGCUUCCACUGGACAUGAGAGAAGACAUAUGCAUGCAAAAAAAUACACACUUAAGUUUAGUACUUAAUGUUAAAUGUUUCAGUCACAUAGGCCUUCAGUAAGUAUGUGCAAUAGGAAUGCUUCACUUACACUCUUUAAAUGCAAAAUCUUGCAUAGAGGUCUCAUUUCUUUAAAGGGGUAAUGAACUGAGAAACCGAAAUUCUCUUGAUCUUUUGAACUAUAAGAGGUCCUUGUGCUAUAAAAACUUCCUGUUAUUUUCCAAACUCAAAACUUUCUCUUUAGUCUGAAAACAGCUUAUACUGAAGACAGUCUGCCAAACACAACUCUAUGAUGAAACAGUGUGUGGCUAAGCACCGCCUCCGCAGAAGAUGAUCAACACCUGCUUCUACAGCGCUGCCUGUUUAGCCCCGCCCCCGAUUCUGUGAUGAUGAUGAUCAAAGUACCCAAAAAGAUUUGAGGCUGUAAUUGGUGCCAAAGGUGCUUCGACAAAGUAUUGAGCAAAGGCUGUGAAUACUUAUGUGCAGUACAUGUCAUUUUUUAUUUUUAAUAAAUUUGCAAAGAUUUCAAACAGACUCCUUUCACGUUGUCAUUUUAAGGAAAAUAAUGAAUUUGAUCCAUUUUGGAAUAAGGCUGUAACAUGACAAAAUGUGGAAAAAGUGAAGUGCGGUAUAAGGUUUUUUUUUUUAACAUUAUAAGAGUACCUUAGAGAACAGUUUAAAAAAAAAAAAAAAACACCAAGGCAAUUCAUGACCCCUUUAAAGAAUUUGCUUUCUCUUGGAGUCUGAGAGCCAAAAAAAGAAACUUGUUGCAAUUUUAUAAAACUGUCAUGCUAGGGAUGGCAUAUCUUCCUCUGUCGUCCCACACACACACACACACACACACACACUCCCCUGCACAAGGUCAUUCUUCAUUCAGAGGGCAGUGUUGCAGAAGUUCACCGGGGGUUAUUUUAGGCUGCAGUGGUUUAGGAGUGUUUACAGCGCCGCGUGCAUGAGGCGGUGUGUUUGAUGGUAUAUAAGUGCGGGCACGGGUUUGCUAAUGGUGUCAGGGCUGCAUAUAGAUGUGUAAAACCCUUCUGUGAAAGAGUGGUGACAUUGACAUGAACAGAGGGAAACGGCAGGCCUUCCUGCGUUGCUCUGAGAAGGUCUGACUAUCAGUGAGAGCAUGUCAGGCAGGAAUGAUUAAGGGACGCGCUUAAAAUAACCCGCCUUGAGCUCCUAGUGCACUCGCUCUCCCUGAUAAAAAUACACCCGUACAGUUCACGGCCACUGAAACAAAAACAAGAGGUAAUCUCCUAAUUUGUCAUUCAUGAUUCAGUGGGAUUUACAGUACACUGGUUCAGUAUUCCCAUCCUCCUGAAGUAACCUUACGAUAAGUGCCUUGUUUUAAGAGCACAGUGAUCGUAAUUCAUGGAUCACACCUUAAUUUGGACCUACGUCCUUUUGGUUAGAAGCCCAGAGCUUUAACCUCUGGACCAGUGGUUCUCAAGUCUUUUUUGGGCCAGCGCCCCUUAACCAUUAUUCAGGUACAUAGGUAAUGAAUAAAAACCAAGUCAAUUAUGUUGCAAAUAAGUAUUUAUUAAAACUGGCAGAAAGACAUUGCAAGGCUUUUAGUGGUAAAAUAAAAUUUUCAGUAUUUCAACAGUUAAAAUCUUAUCAUAAAGAUAACAUAGCAUCACAAAAUAACUACAAAUACCUGUUAAAAAAAAAAAAGCCAUAUUCUGAGUAGAACAUUAACUUUCUAUAAAAAUGAAGGUCAAUCAACAUAAUUUGUAUAAUUUUGGUAAAAGAAAAAAAAAUGUUUUAAAAGGAUUAAAGUAAAAUGCUGGAAUCAACACAAAUCACAAAUUCUGUUGUUUGAGCUUAUGUUCUAUUACAUUAAGAAUAUUCAUGCAAAAGACAAAUUAAUAAAUACAUACUCAGAGUCCAUCAACUUUCUGAGAUGAGCACACACACAAGGGUUGUCCCUCUUCUCUGAGACCUUUCCACUUGUUUUGCCUCUAUGUAUCUGUCUUGUAUCCAGUGAGUGUUGUGAUUCCAAGAAAACAUCUGCACAUAAAAACAAGCACAAGCAUG
rnacentral:lncRNA from 12 species